rnacentral:rRNA from 1 species
UACGGGGGGGGCAAGCGUUGUUCGGAAUUACUGGGCGUAAAGGCUCGUAGGCGGCCAACUAAGUCGGAUGUGAAAUCCCCAGGCUUAGCCUGGGAACUGCAUCCGAUACUGGAUGGCUUGAAUCCGGGAGAGGGAUGCGGAAUUCCAGGUGUAGCGGUGAAAUGCGUAGAUAUCUGGAGGAACACCGGUGGCGAAGGCGGCAUCCUGGACCGGCAUUGACGCUGAGGAGCGAAAGCCAGGGGGGCAAACGGG